rnacentral:lncRNA from 1 species
AAACCUAAAGAAAAAAUACUUGAAGAUAAAAGCCUAUAUAAUUGUUUUGUUUGUUUGUUUGUUUUGGAAACAAGGUCUCACUCUGUCACCCAGGCUGGAGUGCAGUGAUAUGAUCAUGGCUUACUGCAGUCUCAAAUGCCAUUGAUAGAUCAUUAGAGAGAUUAACCAAGAAAAGAAGAGACAAGAUCCAAAUAAGCUCAAUUAGAAACAAAAUGGGAGCUAUUGCAACCAAUACCACACAAUACAAAAGAUUAUUUCAACUUUGCAGCAAUUUGGAUGGAGCUGGAGGCCAUUAUUCUAAGUGAAGUAACUCAGGAAUGGAAAAACAAAUUUUGUAUUUCUCACUUAUAAGUGGGAUCUAAGCUAUGAGGAUACAGAGGCAUAAGAAUGAUACAAUGGGUUUGGGGCACUUGGGGGAAGGGUGGAAGGUGGUGAGCAUUAAAAACUAUAUAUUUGGUGCAGUGUACACUAUUCAGGUGACAGGUGCACCAAAAUCUCAGAAAUCACCACUAAAAAACUUAUUCAUGUAACCCAAAAACACCUGUUCCCCAAAAGCUAUUGAAAAAAAAAAUAACGUGUCCAUGAUAGUAGAGCUUCCAGUAAUUGAUUUAGUGCUUCUGUCUUCAAGAAGAAAACAAAAAAGGAAUGCCAGAUAUUAAAUGAAAGUCCAAGUAUAAAUUUUGGAACCCGAUGAAAACAAAUAUAAAGAAAAUGAAGAUGCCCCCCGACACACACUCACACACACACACACAGUGAUGAAGAAGAAGACGGAGAAGGAGAAGGAAAAAGGAAGACUAUAAACAAACUAUAGAAGACAGAAACUGUUUUCAUUAAUAUAUAAUAUUCUAAGAUAUAUUAAAUAAGUUACUGAAUCUGUUUUAAAAAAAGAUGUGAUUUAAAAGGAACAAUCAGAGAAGGAGAAGGUAUUUAUAAGCCUCAAAAGCUGAAUAAAUGAUUUAGAAGGAAAAGUCAAGAAUACUUUCCGAAAUAAAAAUAUGAAAACUUCUAAAACAAACAGUAAAAAUCCCAGUCAAAUAAUUUAAUUAUAUGAUUACUUGAUAUUUAUAAAAGUAAAAUCUAGGACGAGCAUAUGGGGACAGACACCACAUCCAGCCAUUUCUUAAUAUACUUUCAGAACUCCAUUUCAGGCAGAAAAAUCCAAAAUCUACCAGAGGAAAAAUUAUAGAUAACGUGGAAAACUUACAAAGAUUAAGGUACAUAUUGUGAUCAGACUUCUCGAUAGUUGAAGAGUAUAUAAAUACCUUCAACAUUUUGUAAAGACAAUUAUUUUCAAAUUUAACUUUUAUACUUGGAAAACCUGUCUCUUCAAUGUUAAGCCAUCACAUUCUAGAUAUGUAAAAAUACAAGAAAUGUAUCUCUAAGUAGUCUUUCUCCAUGAUGUAUCAGAAGAGCCCCACUCUAAGGAAACGGCAACCUAAAAAUAAAAGAGGCAAACAGAAUAGAAGACAAGUUAUCAAAAUUAAUACAAUAGUUACAAGAUCUGAUAAGAGGAAGUUUCAUGUGGAAUAUCUCUAUAAAGGAAAAGAAAGAAUCUGAAAGAUUUUCUGAUAAGUCUAAUAAUGUCAAAAGUAAUCAGCAGAGUUUUCAAAGUUUAGUUUGAGAAUUUUGAAGGUCGUAAAGAGAAGUAUGUAGAAAAUGAUUUAAACAAAGGAAUACAUGUACCAUGUCCAGUGGGAAAGUUACAGAAUGAUAAACCAAUCAUUAUCUUUCGAAUGAAUCAGCAGUAAAUAAAUUAAUUUAGCCAAAAUUUGUGAUUCAUGCAUAUUGAGGAGUUAAAGAGAUGGUAAUGUGUAGGCUGAGGCAGAUGUAUAAAAAUUGCUAUAUACAGUUCGGGUAUAUAGUAAUAUAUACUAUAUAUCAGAAGAUCCUGGCUAACAUGGUGAAACCUCAUCUCUACUAAAAAAUACAAAAAAUAUUAGCCGGGCAUGGUGGCAGGUGCCUGUAGUCCCAGCUACUCGGGAAGCUGAGGCAGCAGAAUGGCAUGAACCUGGAAGGCGGAGCUUGAAGUGAGCCGAGAUCGCGCCACUGCACUCCAACCUGGGCGACAGAGCAAGACUCCAUCUCAAAAACAAGCAAACAAAAAAAUUACUAUGUACUUACAUUCUGUAAUAGAAAGUAAAUACAUAUAUUUAAAAUUAUAAAAGAAAAAUAGCAGUAAAAGUUUAUUAUAUUAAGAUGUGGUUGCAAAUAGUAGGGAAAAAAAGUAGUACUAUAUGUGUGUUUCUUUGGAAAGAUGCUCUGAUGGGCAGGAAGGAGAUAGUAGUGUCUGCAAUUUUUCCUUAUGUACCAAACAAUGCCAAGCAACCUGCAAGAUUAUGGGCAUAUUUUGAAAAAUAAAGUAUUAACAAAUAAAUGACUCCUCUUUUUGCUUAGGAUUGUCUUGACUUUAUGGGCUCUGUUUUGGUUCCAUAUGAAAUUUAAAGGAGUUAUUUCUAAUUCUGUGAAGAAAGUCAAUAGUAGCUUAAUGGGAAUAGCAUUGAAUCUAUCAAUUACUUUGGGCAAUAUGGCCAUUUUCAUGACAUUGAUUCUUCCUAUCCAUGAGCACGGAAUGUUUUUCCAUUGAUUGUGUCCUCUCUUAUUGCCACGAGUAGUGGUUUGUAGUUGUCCUUGAAGAGGUCCUUCACGUCCCUUGUAAGUUGUAUUUCUAGGUAUUUUAUUCUCUUUGUAGCAAUUGUGAAUGGGAGUCCAAGCACGAUUUGGCCCUCUGGUUGUCUAUUGUUGGUGUAUAGGAAUGCUUGUAAUUUUUGCAUAUUGAUUUUGUAUCCCGAGAUUUUGCUGAAGUUGCUUAUCAGCUUAAGGAGUUUUGGGGCUGAGAUGAUGGGGUUUUAUAAAUACACAAUCAUGUCAUCUACAAACACAGAUGAUUUGACUUUCUCUUUUCCUAUUUGAAUACCCUUUAUUUCUUUCUCUUACCUGAUGGCCCUGGUCAGAACUUCCAAUAGUGUGUUGAACAGGAGUGGUGAGAGAGGACAUCAUUGUCUUGUGCCAGUUUUCAAACGGAAUGCCUCCAGCUUUUCACAUUCAGUAUGACAUUGGCUAUGGGCUUCUCAUAAAUAGCUCUUAUUAUUUUGAGAUACAUUCCAUCAAUUCCUAGUUUAUUGAGAGGUUUUAGCGUGGAAGGAUGUUAAA